rnacentral:snoRNA from 1 species
AUCCCAUGAUGUAGACACUUCCUAAGCAUAUUCAUGAGUCUAUUCCAUGCUUCAUCAAAAGAUUCAGAGUCACCUUGAUGAAAAAUAGAGAUAUCAUACUUUAGCUU